UUGAACGCUGGCGGCAUGCCUUACACAUGCAAGUCGAACGGUAGAGGGGCAACCCUUGAGAGUGGCGAACGGGUGAGUAAUAUAUCGGAACGUGCCCAGUCGUGGGGGAUAACGCAGCGAAAGCUGCGCUAAUACCGCAUACGAUCUAAGGAUGAAAGCGGGGGAUCGCAAGACCUCGCGCGAUUGGAGCGGCCGAUAUCAGAUUAGGUAGUUGGUGGGGUAAAAGCCUAC
rnacentral:rRNA from 1 species